rnacentral:pre_miRNA from 1 species
CAACUACUCCCUCUGUCCCAAAUUUCUUGUCUUAGAUUUGUCUAGAUACGGAUGUAUAUAAUACUAAAAUGUGACUUGAUACAUCUGUAUCUAGACAAAUCCAAGACAAGAGUUUUGGGAUGGAGGGAGUACUUU